GCGCGGCUGGUGAAAUGGCAAACACGAAGGAUUUAGGUUCCUUUGCCGUAAGGCUUGCGGGUUCGAGUCCCGCGCCGCGCACCA
rnacentral:tRNA from 1 species